CUAACAUACAAAGCUAUGCAUGGAAUAGCCCCUUCUUAUAUCUGUGACUUAGUCACCCUGUACAUGCCUUCUCAUUCCCUUCGGUCUACUGAUUCUCUUACUCUUCAGCAGCCUAACUGUAGAUUAAAAUUCAUGGGGGAAAGAGCUUUCUCUGUCUCCGCACCCAUGGAAUGCACUUCCUCUUACUGUUAGAGAUGCUCCCACAUCAGCUAGUUAAGUUGUUAAAAGCUUAUCUUUUUAAAAUUGCUUAUAUAGACUGUGAUGAUUAGUAUUUUAUUGUGUUGUACUGUAAUGAUUAUUUUCUGAUUUAUAGUUUCUUUGUAUUGUAUUAUUUUUGUACUUCUGUAUUUUAUUUGUUUUUAUUUGCAAUUCUUUGUGGCGCUUUGGGUUUUAGAAAAGCAUUAUAAAUAAAAUGUAUUAUUAUUAUUAUUACUAUUAGGGCCUCAGAUAACUGGAUAUCUAUAGAAGACUCAGAUAUUGUUUGCCUAGAGCACACAGAAUUUCCUGUUCAAUUGUGUUGAGAAACAUUUCAAUCUUGUAAAGAGUAAAACUUCCUCAAAUAUGGUUUUGAGGUAAAAACAUGAUAAACAGAAGUACUAGGCCUUAUGAUAAUCUGAUCAUUUGUUUAUCCAAGCAAUUUUGAUAGUGUUUGUUCUAUGAUAAAUGAAUAUGCAUAAUAAGCAGAGUAUGCAAACUGUGUAGCUGACCAAUAAACUUUGUGGAAGUAGAUGUGAAGCAUGUCACUUUGUGUGUGUUUUAUUGUUCCCAUGUACCAUUUGAAGCAGCAAGAGCGGAACAACAGAACAAAGUUUGUGGGAAAAGAUUAACUAAUGAUUUAAUAAUUUUCUUACAACUCAUGAGCAUCUAGAUUGAGAUGACAUGAAUAAUAACAAAUCUUAAGGCACCUUUCUUUCUGAUUCUGGUGUGAAAUGUGACCCAAACAUGACUUUGCACAAUAUACUCUUUAUAUGUUACUUAUAAAAGCACUUGACUGAUAUGGUAUGUAAAUAGGCACCGUUGUGUGGGAGGGACAGUUUGCACAGGAGACUAAGGAAGUGAUUCUUGUGUAUCAGCUACGGUGGUUUUUGCAUGUGAUCCGGCAUUCAGACAACAGGUUUCAGUUGCAGUUCGUGCGAAGACAUACACAUCAACCGAGACUGUGUCAUAAAGAGUCUGUGUGUGUAUCUCAAUGGGGACAUUACAACACUUGUCAAAGAAUUCCAGGACUGCAGUCCUGAAGGAGAUGAGGGAGGAAUUUCUGAGACCACUCUGGACCUUUUUGUGACCCUUAAAGUGCUGAGUACUAGCCAGACAAUGUUGGAGUAGCAACAGAGGGUGUAAAACUGCUACAACACUUAAGAGUUUUUCCUUUGGAUUAAUAAUGCUGUUCGGAUUGAUCUACGCACUCAAGCUACACUCAGAGUCUCAAAUUCACAUUUGAAUUCUUCCAGAAGGUAAUGAUGAAUUUGGACUUUAGGACAUCACAUAGAUGUUUCCAUCCCCUGGAAGGACAUUGAAAACUUUUAAACUUGUUCUGUACCGUUGAAUUGAAGACAGUAUGAUCGACGGCACUAUGAACCGAUGACACUAACUCAAAUCAAGAGACUGCACCUAAUGCACCUUCUGGCUUCCUCUAGCUCUGAUACAUUUAAAGGGUUAGUUCACCAAAAAAUGAAGAUUCUGUCAUAAAUUACUCACCCUCAUGUUGUUCCACACCCGUAAGACCUUUGUUCAUCUUCAGAACACAAAUUAGGAUAUUUUUGAUGAAAUCCAUGAGCUAUCUGGCCUUCGAUAGACUGCAACACAACUAUCACUUUCAAGGCCCAGAAAGGUAGUAAAGACAUCAUUAAAAUAGUCAACAUGACUACAGUGGUUCAACCUUAAUAAUAUGAAGCGACGAGAAUACUUUUUGUGCGCAAAACAAAAAAACAAAAACAAAAAUAAUGACUUUAUUCAAAAAUGUCUUCCCUUUUAUGUCAGUCUCCUACACAGUUGAUGUUGUACACACAAAAUAUCUUAAUUUGUGUUUCGAAGAUGAACGAAGGUCUUAGGGUUUUGGUGCGACAUGAGGGUGAGUAAUUAAUGACAGAAAUUUCAUUUUUGGGCGAAUAAACCCUUUAACAGUGAUGUUAGCCCUUGUACUAUUCUUUGUCCAGGAAGUUAACAUGUGAAUAGGACACUUAGGCUACUGAAUGCCUAAAUGCUGAAAUGUGACAGACAACAGAAAACCUGUCAUAUGUAAAGUAAAAUAUAAUCCUUCAGAUUGCUUUUCUUUUUUUCCCCAAGUGUCCUGAUUGUUUAUUUGUUUGAAUAAAUGUUUACAAGGAAUGUAACCAUUUACAGAUCUGUAUCAAGUUUCAGAUAAGUGAAAGCACAAACUGAUUACCAUACUAUGCAGUGAGAUCCCAAUAUUACCUUGAAUAUGUGAAAAUAAUGUUUGAUGUUGAAAUUUGGUUCCUUGUUGAUCUUUGAACUUGUUGGCACACAGCCAUAACCAUUGUGUUAGUUUGGGAGAAGGCACAAAACUGCAGUAAACAGUUGCCUUAAUUUGUGAAAUACUGCAUUAUGUUCUAUUUUAUUUAUUUAUUUAUUUAUUUUUUGUUAGAUUGGAUGUUUCUUAUUAAUCCUGGAGCAAUUGUGACAAUAAAUGUUUAUAAAUGUAA